rnacentral:rRNA from 1 species
ACGGUAGCUGUCUGCAAGUCGAGACAGGCUAGCUGAGCUUGCUCUCGGGUGACGAGCGGCGGACGGGUGAGUAAUGUCUGGGAAACUGCCUGAUGGAGGGGGAUAACUACUGGAAACGGUAGCUAAUACCGCAUAAUGUCGCAAGACCAAAGUGGGGGACCUUCGGGCCUCAUGCCAUCAGAUGUGCCCAGAUGGGAUUAGCUAGUAGGUGGGGUAACGGCUCACCUAGGCGACGAUCCCUAGCUGGUCUGAGAGGAUGACCAGCCACACUGGAACUGAGACACGGUCCAGACUCCUACGGGAGGCAGCAGUGGGGAAUAUUGCACAAUGGGCGCAAGCCUGAUGCAGCCAUGCCGCGUGUGUGAAGAAGGCCUUCGGGUUGUAAAGCACUUUCAGCGGGGAGGAAGGCGAUAAGGUUAAUAACCUUGUCGAUUGACGUUACCCGCAGAAGAAGCACCGGCUAACUCCGUGCCAGCAGCCGCGGUAAUACGGAGGGUGCAAGCGUUAAUCGGAAUUACUGGGCGUAAAGCGCACGCAGGCGGUCUGUCAAGUCGGAUGUGAAAUCCCCGGGCUCAACCUGGGAACUGCAUUCGAAACUGGCAGGCUAGAGUCUUGUAGAGGGGGGUAGAAUUCCAGGUGUAGCGGUGAAAUGCGUAGAGAUCUGGAGGAAUACCGGUGGCGAAGGCGGCCCCCUGGACAAAGACUGACGCUCAGGUGCGAAAGCGUGGGGAGCAAACAGGAUUAGAUACCCUGGUAGUCCACGCCGUAAACGAUGUCGAUUUGGAGGUUGUGCCCUUGAGGCGUGGCUUCCGGAGCUAACGCGUUAAAUCGACCGCCUGGGGAGUACGGCCGCAAGGUUAAAACUCAAAUGAAUUGACGGGGGCCCGCACAAGCGGUGGAGCAUGUGGUUUAAUUCGAUGCAACGCGAAGAACCUUACCUGGUCUUGACAUCCACAGAACUUUCCAGAAAUGGAUUGGUGCCUUCGGGAACUGUGAAACAGGUGCUGCAUGGCUGUCGUCACCUCGUGUUGUGAAAUGUUGGGUUAAGUCCCCCACCAACCCAACCCUUAUCCUUUGUUGCCACCGGUCCGGCCGGGAACUCCAAGGAAACUGCCAUUUAAAACUGGAAGAAAGUGGGGGAUAACUUCAAGUCUCUGGCCCUUACAACCAGGGCUACCCUUGCUACAAGGGCAAUAACAAAGAAAACCACCUCCCCGAAGCAACCGGACCUCAAAAGUUUGCCCAAUCCCGGAUGGAAUCUGCAACCCGGAUCCCUGAAUCGAAACCGGGAAUUCCGAAACCCAAAAUUCCCAGGAAAUCUUUUCGGGGCCUUUAAACCCCCCCCCCUCCACCUGGGAUUGGGUUUCAAAAAAAAAUGAAAACCAAACCUUCGGGAGGCCCUUACCUUUUUGGGGGGAAAUCCAAAAAGAACAGAGCUGGGCUAGUGCUAAUACGCGAUGGCUGGAUUGCGGGG